rnacentral:rRNA from 1 species
AUCCUACGGGGGGCAGCAGUGGGGGAUAUUGCACAAUGGGGGAAACCCUGAUGCAGCGACGCCGCGUGAGCGAUGAAGUAUUUCGGUAUGUAGAGCUCUAUCAGCAGGGAAGAAAAUGACGGUACCUGACUAAGAAGCCCCGGCUAACUACGUGCCAGCAGCCGCGGUAAUACGUAGGGGGCAAGCGUUGUCCGGAUUUACUGGGUGUAAAGGGCGUGCAGCCGGAGAGACAAGUCAGAUGUGAAAUCCGCAGGCUCAACCUGCGAACUGCAUUUGAAACUGUUUCCCUUGAGUAUCGGAGAGGU